rnacentral:rRNA from 1 species
UCAGUUAUAAUUUAUUUGAUAGUACCUUACUACUUGGAUAACCGUGGUAAUUCUAGAGCUAAUACAUGCUAAAAAACCCGACUUCUGGAAGGGUUGUAUUUAUUAGAUAAAAAGCCAAUGCGGGCAACCGCUUUUUUGGUGAUUCAUAGUAACUUUUCGAAUCGCAUGGCCUUGUGCUGGCGAUGGUUCAUUCAAAUUUCUGCCCUAUCAACUUUUGAUGGUAGGAUAGAGGCCUACCAUGGUUUUAACGGGUAACGGAGAAUUAGGGUUCGAUUCCGGAGAGGGAGCCUGAGAAACGGCUACCACAUCCAAGGAAGGCAGCAGGCGCGCAAAUUACCCAAUUCCGACACGGAGAGGUAGUGACAAUAAAUAACAAUGCAGGACCUUUAUGGUUUUGCAAUUGGAAUGAGAACAAUUUAAAUCCCUUAUCGAGGAACAACUGGAGGGCAAGUCUGGUGCCAGCAGCCGCGGUAAUUCCAGCUCCAGUAGCGUAUAUUAAAGUUGUUGCAGUUAAAAAGCUCGUAGUUGAAUUUCGGGCACGGACGUUUGAUUCACCUUACGGUGACGUCUUAUGAUCUGUGCCUUACCUUCUGGGGAUCCAAUGUGCUCUUUACUGGGUGCGUUGGGGAACCAGGACCUUUACCUUGAGAAAAUUAGAGUGUUUAAGGCAGGCGUAAGCUUGAAUACAUUAGCAUGGAAUAAUGGAAUAGGACUUUGGUUCUAUUUCGUUGGCUUCUAGGACCAGAGUAAUGAUUAAUAGGAACAGUUGGGGGCGUUAGUAUUGGACUGCUAGAGGUGAAAUUCUUGGAUUUGUUCAAGGCUA